UAGGGAAUCUUCGGCAAUGGACGGAAGUCUGACCGAGCAACGCCGCGUGAGUGAAGAAGGUUUUCGGAUCGUAAAGCUCUGUUGUUAGAGAAGAACGUUGGUAGGAGCGGAAAAUCUACCAAGUGACGGUAACUAACCAGAAAGGGACGGCUAACUACGUGCCAGCAGCCGCGGUAAUACGUAGGUCCCGAGCGUUGUCCGGAUUUAUUGGGCGUAAAGCGAGCGCAGGCGGUUCUUUAAGUCUGAAGUUAAAGGCAGUGGCUUAACCAUUGUACGCUUUGGAAACUGGAGGACUUGAGUGCGGAAGGGGAGAGUGGAAUUCCAAGUGUAGCGGUGAAAUGCGUAGAUAUAUGGAGGAACACCGGUGGCGAAAGCGGCUCUCUGGUCUGUAACUGACGCUGAGGCUCGAAAGCGUGGGGAGCAAACAGG
rnacentral:rRNA from 1 species